ensembl:rRNA 5S_rRNA 5S ribosomal RNA
AUCUAGGGCCAUGCCAUCCUGAAUAAGCCUGAUUCCGUCUGAUCUCCGAAGCUAAGCAGGAUCGGGCCUGGCAAGUACUUGGAUGGGAGACCACCUAGGAAGACCAGGUUCUGUGGGCA